CAAGAAAUUUGUUCUCUGGAUUUUCAUAGGAAAUUGAAGCUUUGAAAGGUUGACUCUGUUCUUGAAGUUUAUCUGGAACUCAUCUGUGAGCUUCAUGGUGUACACAGAUAAGAAACUGACAAUACAUUUCAACAGGCUUAAUUUUAAAUUGAGGACUUUAAAAGAAAGAGUAUAAUUAAACUAUUUAAUUCCACUUAUUUCAGAGAAAAUUCAAGUUAUAUUCUUCUCCUGAAAGGGUUUCAUUUAGCACAGGAGAGAAGUAUAUAUAUAUAUUAUAUGUCUUCUGAUGCCAAGCUGGUUCAGUGCUUCAUGUGUGCAAACCAUCAUCUGAGUUACAGACUCUGUGGACGUCUUUGUUAUUAGAAUAGAGCACUUAGACAUUGAAGUCUAUUUUAGCCAUCGAGGUGUCUCCCAAGCUUCUUCCCCUUCAUCUUGUUGUCACUUUAAUCCCAUGAAUGGGUAUGGAACACAAAGCAGAUCUAUCUACUGUCCCAUUUAAAAUAUCUGUAUGGUUAGGUUCUCAUAUAAACUCACUCCAAGUUGCUUAAUCUUCAAAUGUCUGAACAUAUACGUUCAAAUGCACAUGCAUUUACCUAAAUAAGUAUGUGUAGAUUUAUUUUUUAAAAAAAAUAAAGCCUUGUCUAAUAAGGAAAUAUAGAACUGUAACUCCUAAUACACACUCACUGUAUUAUUUUAAUGCCAUGCAAAUGAAAGAAUCCUGAAAACUAAUUUUAAAGAGC
rnacentral:lncRNA from 1 species